rnacentral:rRNA from 1 species
UACGUAGGUGGCGAGCGUUGUCCGGAUUUACUGGGCGUAAAGGGCUUGUAGGCGGUCCGUUAAGUCUGGUGUGAAAUCUCCCGGCUCAACUGGGAGGGGUCAUCGGAUACUGGCGGGCUGGAGGUGGGCGGAGGUAAGGGGAAUUCCCGGUGUAGCGGUGAAAUGCGUAGAGAUUGGGAAGAACACCGGUGGCGAAAGCGCCUUGCUGGGCCUGCACUGACACUGAGGGACGAAAGCUAGGGGAGCGAAAGGG